UAUAAUUUAGUAUAAGAUGUACUUAAACUUUUGAUGUUUAAAGAAAUAGUUUAAUUCUAUUAAUUAUAA
rnacentral:tRNA from 1 species